rnacentral:rRNA from 1 species
UACAGAGGGGGCAAGCGUUGUUCGGAAUUACUGGGCGUAAAGGGCGCGUAGGCGGCCACCUAAGUCAGACGUGAAAUCCCUCGGCUCAGCCGGGGAACUGCGUCUGAUACUGGGUGGCUUGAAUUCGGGAGAGGGAUGCGGAAUUCCAGGUGUAGCGGUGAAAUGCGUAGAUAUCUGGAGGAACACCGGUGGCGAAGGCGGCAUCCUGGACCGACACUGACGCUGAGGAGCGAAAGCCAGGGGAGCAAACGGG